UCCUUGUUAGUACAGUGGUGAGUAUCCCGGCCUGUCACAUGGGAGACCUGGGUUUGACUCCCCGAUGGGGAG
rfam:Ovis aries breed Texel chromosome 8, whole genome shotgun sequence.